UACAGAGGUGGCAAGCGUUGUUCGGAAUUACUGGGCGUAAAGGGCGCGUAGGCGGCCCGUCAAGUCCCGUGUGAAAGCCCCCGGCUCAACCGGGGAACGGCGCGGGAAACUAGCAGGCUUGAGUUCGGGAGAGGGAAGCGGAAUUCCGGGUGUAGCGGUGAAAUGCGCAGAUAUCCGGAGGAACACCGGUGGCGAAGGCGGCUUCCUGGACCGACACUGACGCUGAGGCGCGAAAGCGUGGGGAGCGAACAGG
rnacentral:rRNA from 1 species